AGGAAGGGCAAUUCUGAGUCGUUUGUCUGGACGGUUACUUACUGGGUCAGGUAAUCUUUUUCUAAGCUAUUGGGGUUACUGUUGGGCACGAACUGGGGCAAAGUGUUGGUGUUUAGCCGAGAUACGAUCUUUGGCUAACUAGGCAUGUUCAAGCACCUCUGCAUACAAGCUAGGUCUCAACAUCGCGAACCGAUCAUAAAUGUUGGUACGAAGGCCUUUGAGAAACUUCCUAGCUUUUUGGCUUUCGGGGGUGACCAUCAAAGGGGAAAAACUAGACAGUUGAACAAAUUGGGUUGCAUAUUGGGCUACAGACAAGCUUCCUU
rnacentral:lncRNA from 1 species